UCCAACAAGCAUCUCUAAUAUUAGGGGCAUAACAUUCAUCCCUAAAAGCAUUCCACUAAUCUCACAAACCACACAUAUGCCACUAUGUCUCAACAGACAGUGAAUAAUGAAUUUGGCUUAUCCUCGAAUACCAUUACAAAGUUAAUCUCCAUAGGCACACCAUAGUUUCCAAAGCAUCAUGCCAAACUAAUUUUAUCUAUGCCUAUUUGAUGUUAUGUCGUAUCACUCAUAAUUCAAAUCAUAAUUAUAGAGUGGUCUUCCCUAGACCUAAUCAAAUCAUGUAUGGUUGCCAACUGGUGGAGACAAAUUGUGCUCAAGGCUAAAGUCGUUGGCAGAGCAUCAAAUCACAUGCAUGCCGAAGCAACGGGGCGAAAGGUCAGAUCAGGCUUGGAGUCGAAACAUUUGAUGGAGAAGAGAUCACGCUCAGUGCUGAAGCAAUUAGUGGAGAAUCAAAGUCAUUAUCUGAAGGUAUGUGACAAAUGGCAUCAAAAUACUGUAGGUGAGAAUCACAAGCAGGAUUAAUACCAC
rnacentral:lncRNA from 1 species